rnacentral:rRNA from 1 species
GGUUAAGUUAAUAAGGGCGCACGGUGGAUGCCUUGGCACUAGGAGCCGAAGAAGGACGUGACAAACGACGAUAUGCCUUGGGUAGCUGUAAGUAAGCGAUGAUCCAGGGAUUUCCGAAUGGGGGAACCCAACAGGUACUACCUGUUACCCAUAUCUGUUAAGGAUGUGAGGAGGAAGACGCAGUGAACUGAAACAUCUAAGUAGCUGCAGGAAGAGAAAGCAAAAGCGAUUGCCUUAGUAGCGGCGAGCGAAACGGCAGAAGGGCAAACCGAAGAGUUUACUCUUCGGGGUUGUAGGACUGCAAUGUGGACUCAAAGAUUAUAGAAGAAUGAUUUGGGAAGAUCAGCCAAAGAGAGUAAUAGCCUCGUAUUUAAAAUAGUCUUUGUACCUAGCAGUAUCCUGAGUACGGCGGGACACGUGAAAUCCCGUCGGAAUCUGGGAGGACCAUCUCCCAACCCUAAAUACUCCCUAGUGACCGAUAGUGAACCAGUACCGUGAGGGAAAGGUGAAAAGCACCCCGGGAGGGGAGUGAAAUAGAACCUGAAACCGUGUGCCUACAACAAGUUC